rnacentral:rRNA from 1 species
AACUAUGUGCACUCUACACUUAGCUUGCUCUGCUCAAUGAAUAUUUAAAUAGCCGCAGUACCCUGACUGUGCAAAGGUAGCAUAAUCAGUUGGCUCAUAAUUGGAGUCUUGUAUGAAUGAGUGAAUGGGCACAGCCUGUCUCCGGGUGGUACGUGGAACUUUUUGAGUAAGUGCAAAAGCUUACAACUACUUAAAAGACGAGAAGACCCUAGAAAUUUUUUAUAACAAACGUAUGACAGCGAUUUCAUAUUUUGCUGGGGCGGCAGAGUAACAUUUAACAACUUGCUUGAGAAAUUCGACUUUUAUUUACAGUUAAAUUACAAUUACUCUAGGGAUAACAGCGUAAUUCUUUAGAGCUUGCGACCUCGAUGUUGGACUAGGGAGGGGAGUAUGCAGAAGGUACUUCCCCACGUUCUGUUCGAACGGUGUUCCCUACAUG